rfam:Puccinia triticina 1-1 BBBD Race 1 supercont2.67, whole genome shotgun sequence.
GGUCGAUUAGCUCAGUUGGUUAGAGCGCCGUACUAAUACCAUGCCCCAUGGGAAGGUGUCAUGCGGAUGUCAUGGGUUCGACCCCCACAUUGACCA